UCCCAGCGCCACAAGUGGCAAUCAUAUUUAUUGGGCCUAAAGCGUCCGUAGCAGGUUUUGAAAAUCUUUUGUGAAAUCGUCAUGCUCAACAUAACGACGUGCAAGAGACACUACAAUACUAGGAACCGGGAGGAGUUAGGGGUAUUCCAGGGGGAGCGGUAAAAUGUUAUAAUCCCUGGAGGACCACCUGUGGCGAAGGCGCCUAACUAGAACGGAUUCGACUGUGAGGGACGAAAGCUAGGGGAGCAAUCCGG
rnacentral:rRNA from 1 species